rnacentral:rRNA from 1 species
AUGCAGGCCCGAGGACACCCGCCUGAAAGUAACGCUCAUGGCUCUCGAGAUGAAGGCAAACCACAAAAUGAUCGACGCAUGCUUCGACGAGAACAUGUCAUCCAUUGUGUGCCUCACAGCCUUGAUGUCAUGCAUAUCACGAAGAACGUGUGCGAGAGUCUGCUUGGUACCCUGCUCAACAUGCCAGAGAGGACCAAAGAUGGGUCGAAAGAAAGGGCAGACUUGGAGUCAAUGGGCAUCAGGGAGGAGCUUCACGCUAAUGAUGAUGAUGAGGCGAAGAAGGACACAGAAAGUCGUCGCAAAGGCAAAAAGGCCAAGAAGACCGGAAAUGACUACCCUCCCACGUGCUUCACUCUAUGUCAGGAGGAGAUCGAGCAGUUUUUCACCUGCCUCGUAGGAGUAAAACUUCCUUACGGUUACACAGGGAAGAUAAGUAGAUACCUAGACUAA